rnacentral:tRNA from 1 species
GCAGGUAUAGUUCAUCGGUAGAAUGCGAGCUUCCCAAGCUUGAGAGGAGGGUUCGAUUCCCUUUACCUGCUCCA